AAAGCUUGAUCCUGGCUUUACUAUCAACUUUGAUUAAACUUAUACAUGCAAGUCUCCGCACCCCCGUGAGGAUGCCUUCCCCUGCCCACUUUAGGCAAAAAGGAGCUGGUAUCAGGCACGACCGUAAGUCGGCCCACAACACCUUGCUUAGCCACACCCCCAAGGAUCUUCAGCAGUAAUAAACCUUAAGCAAUAAGUGAAAACUUGACUUAGUAAAUAUCAAACAGGGCCGGUCAAACUCGUGCCAGCCGCCGCGGUUAUACGAGUAGGCCCAAGUGGAUAGAAUUCGGCGUAAAGAGUGGUUAAUAGAAUCUUAUACUAAAGCCGAACGCCCUCAAAGCAGUUAUACGCAUUCGAGGGUAUGAAGCCCCACAACGAAAGUGGCUUUAAACACUAUUGAACCCACGAAAGCUAGGGAACAAACUGGGAUUAGAUACCCCGCUAUGCCUAGCCUUAAACAAAAAUAGCUCUGUACCACAAGGAUUCGCCCGGGGACUACGGGCACGAGCCUAAAACCCAAAGGAUUUGGCGGUGCUUUAGACCCCCCUAGAGGAGCCUGUUAUAGAACCGAUACUCCCCGUUAAACCUCACCCUCUCUUGCCCUUCCCGUCUAUAUACCGCCGUCGUCAGCUUACCUUCUGAGAGACUAGUAGUAAGCAAAAUUGGCAAAGCCCAAAACGUCAGGUCGAGGUGUAGCGUAUGAGGGGGGAAGAAAUGGGCUACAUUUACUGUCUCAGUACAUACGGAAGGUGGUCUGAAACCCCAUCUGAAGGAGGAUUUAGCAGUAAGGGGGAAAUAGAGUGUCCCCCUGAAGACGGCUCUGGAGCGCGCACAUACCGCCCGUCAUUCUCCCCAAUAAUUUAUAAACAAAAUAUAUAAUAAAACAAAAACUACAAGAGGGGAGGCAAGUCGUAACAUGGUAAGUGUACCGGAAGGUGCACUUGGAUCAACCC
rnacentral:ncRNA from 1 species